AGCCAAGCGUUGUCCGGAUUUAUUGGGCGUAAAGAGCUCGUAGGCGGCUUGUCGCGUCGACUGUGAAAACCCGUGGCUCAACCAUGUGGUCUGCAGUCGAUACGGGCAGGCUAGAAUUCGGUAGGGGAGACUGGAAUUCCUGGUGUAGCGGUGAAAUGCGCAGAUAUCAGGAGGAACACCGGUGGCGAAGGCGGGUCUCUGGGCCGAUAUUGACGCUGAGGAGCGAAAGCGUGGGGAGCGAACAGG
rnacentral:rRNA from 1 species